rnacentral:rRNA from 1 species
GACGAACGCUGGCGGCGUGCUUAACACAUGCAAGUCGAACGGAAAGGCCCUGCUUUUGUGGGGUGCUCGAGUGGCGAAAGGGUGAGUAACACGUGAGUAACCUGCCCUUGACUUUGGGAUAACUUCAGGAAACUGGGGCUAAUACCGGAUAGGAGCUCCUGCUGCAUGGUGGGGGUUGGAAAGUUUUGGCGGUUGGGGAUGGACUCGCGGCUUAUCAGCUUGUUGGUGGGGUAGUGGCUUACCAAGGCUUUGACGGGUAGCCGGCAUGAGAGGGUGACCGGCCACAUUGGGACUGAGAUAGGGCCCAGACUCCUACGGGAGGCAGCAGUGGGGAAUAUUGCACAAUGGGCGGAAGCCUGAUGCAGCAACGCCGCGUGCGGGAUGACGGCCUUCGGGUUGUAAACCGCUUUCGCCUGUGACGAAGCGUGAGUGACGGUAAUGGGUAAAGAAGCACCGGCUAACUACGUG